rnacentral:lncRNA from 1 species
AAUAAUAUAACUAAAAAUAUAAUUAUUUAAAUUAAAAUAUAAUAUUAAAUUAAAAAUAUACUGUUAACAGUAUAUUACUUAAGUUAGAAGAGGAGAAAAAAAUUUCUCUGAAAUAUUUAAAUAUAAAAAAUAAAUAAUAUAACUAAAAAUAUAAUUAUUUAAAUUAAAAUAUAAUAUUAAAUUUAAAAUAUAAGGUUAACAGUAUAUUACUUAAAGUUAGAGGGGGGAGAAAAAAUUGUUAAUUGUAACAGAGGGAGAUAGCAGUAGCGCUGCGAACGACAACAACGACAACGGUUUAAGAUACUAUUAACAGUAUAUUACUUAAAGUUAGAUGGGGGAGAAAAAAUGUUCAGUAACAAAGAUAGCAGCAGGGCUGUGAACGACAGCAACGGUAGCGGCGGAAGCUGCGAACAAUAGUAGUGGCAGCGGUGAAAGUUGCGGACAGCAGCGGUAGCAGUGACAGAAGCUCUAGAGGGCGUCCGUUGGUGGGGAAGGAACUUGUGGUCCUCUCCCUCGACAAUGGAAGGAUGCGACAAUAGAAGGAAGCUACGGGGGCCGUCGGACUUGUCCGUCGACAACAGAGGAAGG